rnacentral:rRNA from 1 species
GAUGAACGCUGGCGGCGUGCCUAAUACAUGCAAGUCGAGCGAACAGAUAAGGAGCUUGCUCCUUUGACGUUAGCAGCGGACGGGUGAGUAACACGUGGAUAACCUACCUAUAAGACUGGGAUAACUUCGGGAAACCGGAGCUAAUACCGGAUAACAUAUUGAACCGCAUGGUUCAAUAGUGAAAGGCGGCUUUGCUGUCACUUAUAGAUGGAUCCGCGCCGUAUUAGCUAGUUGGUAAGGUAACGGCUUACCAAGGCAACGAUACGUAGCCGACCUGAGAGGGUGAUCGGCCACACUGGAACUGAGACACGGUCCAGACGCCUACGGGAGGCAGCAGUAGGGAAUCUUCCGCAAUGGGCGAAAGCCUGACGGAGCAACGCCGCGUGAGUGAUGAAGGUCUUCGGAUCGUAAAACUCUGUUAUCAGGGAAGAACAAAUUUGUAAGUAACUGUGCACAUCUUGACGGUACCUGAUCAGAAAGCCACGGCUAACUACGUG